rnacentral:rRNA from 1 species
UACGUAGGGUGCAAGCGUUAAUCGGAAUUACUGGGCGUAAAGCGUGCGCAGGCGGUUUUGUAAGUCUGUCGUGAAAUCCCCGGGCUCAACCUGGGAAUUGCGAUGGAGACUGCAAGGCUAGAAUCUGGCAGAGGGGGGUGAGAAUUCCACGUGUGAGCAGUGAAAUGCGUAGAGAUGUGGAGGAACACCGAUGGCGAAGGCAGCCCCCUGGGUCAAGAUUGACGCUCAUGAC